AGAGUUUGAUCCUGGCUCAGAUUGAACGCUGGCGGCAGGCCUAACACAUGCAAGUCGAGCGGAAACGAGUUAUCUGAACCUUCGGGGGACGAUAACGGCGUCGAGCGGCGGACGGGUGAGUAAUGCCUAGGAAAUUGCCCUGAUGUGGGGGAUAACCAUUGGAAACGAUGGCUAAUACCGCAUAACACCUACGGGUCAAAGAGGGGGACCUUCGGGCCUCUCGCGUCAGGAUAUGCCUAGGUGGGAUUAGCUAGUUGGUGAGGUAAUGGCUCACCAAGGCGACGAUCCCUAGCUGGUCUGAGAGGAUGAUCAGCCACACUGGAACUGAGACACGGUCCAGACUCCUACGGGAGGCAGCAGUGGGGAAUAUUGCACAAUGGGCGCAAGCCUGAUGCAGCCAUGCCGCGUGUGUGAAGAAGGCCUUCGGGUUGUAAAGCACUUUCAGUCGUGAGGAAGGUGGUAGUGUUAAUAGCACUAUCAUUUGACGUUAGCGACAGAAGAAGCACCGGCUAACUCCGUGCCAGCAGCCGCGGUAAUACGGAGGGUGCGAGCGUUAAUCGGAAUUACUGGGCGUAAAGCGCAUGCAGGUGGUUUGUUAAGUCAGAUGUGAAAGCCCGGGGCUCAACCUCGGAAUAGCAUUUGAAACUGGCAGACUAGAGUACUGUAGAGGGGGGUAGAAUUUCAGGUGUAGCGGUGAAAUGCGUAGAGAUCUGAAGGAAUACCGGUGGCGAAGGCGGCCCCCUGGACAGAUACUGACACUCAGAUGCGAAAGCGUGGGGAGCAAACAGGA
rnacentral:rRNA from 1 species